GCUUCAGAUGAGAGUGCGACGGGAGAAGGUGACCUCCGAGAUCUCGAAGGAAACAGAUGACGACGAAGACAGUGAUGGCCACGGAGGAGCUCAGAACGAUGGAGAGGCAACGGCUGCUAGGAUCCUUGGUACUUCUCAACCCAAAUGGUAUAGGCUGUGCGACAAGCUCUGCGGCAAGCUGUGCGGCAACCACUGAUCCAUUACUUACAAUCGUCUGGUCGUCAAGCAUCUACAACCAUCACAAAUUGUAGAGGGAUCGUUGUUCGUCAAAAUUGAAGACACAAUCCAUAAAUUUUUUCUAACGUCAAUGAUAAAUUUGAUCACUGUAAUUAAUGGUGUGGUGAGUUAAAUAAUAUUGUGUUAAUUACUUAAUCCAUGGCAGGACAGGUUCGUACCAUUAUGUCGACCGAAAUACGACUCAGUCAAAUUAUUCAAAUGUCCCUCCAGGGCAUCCACGAAUUUUCGUUGGAGUUGAAACGCCAAGCUAAAUUAACGAGAGCGCUCGAAAAAUUUAUUACUUUGAGUGACGCAAUCGUGUCUAUGGUAACCACAGACAUUUGUCUCGUGUCAGUGAGCACUAAUCUUUUGAGAGGAGCGUCUGGGUAAAAAAAUCGAUAAAUUUGGCUUUUCCGUUUUCUUGGCUCAUUUCGUAGGUGCUGAAAAGGCGCAUCUAACGCAGUAAACCGUAUGUAUGCGUACUUCAGUUUUUGCUGAAAGAAAUUUCAAAAAUAUAUAAAUGAACACUUUUUAUUAAUAUGUACAAAGAUUUUUUCAAAUUUAAUCGGUAUUUAUAGAACAUUAUUUUCGUUAAUUGCAAAGUGUUCGCACUCGUUUGAAGCUACAGACAAGACGCGUUUAAUAAAGCUAAUAUCAUGGAUAUACAUGCAAUAAUUUUUGCGCAAGGCUGUUUUGAACUUCAAUAAAAGACCAUUUUAUUAUAAUAUACACACGUAUUAAUUUGAAAAAAUUGAAUUUAUAGAUAAUUCUUCGCGUUAAUUACAGGGUGCUUGCACUCGUUUAAAAGCUACAAGUUUUGCGCGUACAAGAAAGCAAUUAAAUACCACGGAUGUACAUGGAAUGUUUUUUUGUGUUAGGCUAUUUUGAACUCAUGGAAAAUAAACAUUUUAUAUAUAUAUAUAUAUAUAAAAGUCACAUUUAUAGCUUCUUAUUCACGUUAAACUGGACAAGAAUAUGACGCGUACUGGUACUCGAAAUGCAACUAAUUGGUAAUGGGAAAGCUUGGGCCACAAUAUCAAGCAACUUUUGUGGCAUAUUGUGCUUUUUUCAAUUAAUUUUACUUUUUUGGCUCCCUCGAAUAAUUACCAUUUGCAAAAUCCACCAUCUUAAACAUCUAUCUCCUAUGAUUUUCAAGCUACAUCAUUGAGAGAUAUGCCAUUCGAUUCGUAAAGAAAUAUCUAGCGAUCCACCGAUGACAUUCCUAAUUUCGUUUUAGUUUGGAUCAUAUAUUGAAAAAAACGAGGGAGGUGAGGAGAAAAAUG
rnacentral:lncRNA from 1 species